GACGAACGCUGGCGGCGUGCCUAAUACAUGCAAGUUGAGCGCUGAAGGUUGGUACUUGUACCAACUGGAUGAGCAGCGAACGGGUGAGUAACGCGUGGGGAAUCUGCCUUUGAGCGGGGGACAACAUUUGGAAACGAAUGCUAAUACCGCAUAAAAACUUUAAACACAAGUUUUAAGUUUGAAAGAUGCAAUUGCAUCACUCAAAGAUGAUCCCGCGUUGUAUUAGCUAGUUGGUGAGGUAAAGGCUCACCAAGGCGAUGAUACAUAGCCGACCUGAGAGGGUGAUCGGCCACAUUGGGACUGAGACACGGCCCAAACUCCUACGGGAGGCAGCAGUAGGGAAGCUUCGGCAAUGGACGAAAGUCUGACCGAGCAACGCCGCGUGAGUGAAGAAAGUUUUCGGAUCGUAAAACUCUGUUGGUAGAGAAGAACGUUGGUGAGAGUGGAAAGCUCAUCAAGUGACGGUAACUACCCAGAAAGGAACGGCUAACUACGUG
rnacentral:rRNA from 1 species